rnacentral:miRNA from 1 species
ACUGGGUCAGCCCAAAAUGUGUGUUUGGAUUUUCCCUUAAUAUCCUGCAGAAAAAUCCAAAUGAACUUUUUGGCCAAUCCAAU